GGCUUCAUAGCUCAGUUGGUAGAGCAUCGCACUAGUAACGCGGAGGUCAUGGGUUCACAUGGCAAAGAAUGAGGGAUAUUUGAGCCC